UACUACACAAACAGCAGCCCGCAACUGACAGUUGUGACAAAUUUGGAUAGACUGUGUAAUGGGCGUUGCCAGGCAGUAAUCUUGGAGCCGAAGGUCAAAGCGAUUUAAUAAAGGCAGAGCGAGUGAAGAAAAAGCGCAGAGGGAGUCGGCAGCCGCUAACAUUGCGGUCAAUGGAUAAUGGGAGAAUUCAGUACCUUGGACAGAGCACAUAGCGCGCGGGGCUGCAGGUGACAGGACUGUAUCGCAAUGGGGGCAGCGCUGUUCUUCUGAUCACCUUGCACAUCGCUCCUUCCGCUAAUUAGCGCUCACUGGCGCAGUCUGAGCCAUGGAACAAAGCCGCCAGCCCCAAUCACAUGCUCUUAUUUCUGAUUAACCCUAUGCCUCCCGGGUCCGCGCUGCCAGGCUGAAUGGAAAAUCAGUUUUCAGGAAGGGGCAGAUCUCCCAGUAUUUCUUACAUUAUUGGACAAGCCCCGAUGCUGGGGGAGGGGAGGCAGCAGCAGCAGCAGGACCACUUGGCCGUGUUUGUGCCUUUGCUACAUACAGAAGAGGAAGAGGAUUCACUGACCUCCCAGUAUAAUUGUAUUGCUGCAGCACAGCUCCCCUGGGAAACGCUAAAAUCCAUUUAAUAUCAUCCUCAGGACAAGCUGCCCUUGCUCUGGAUCUCUUUUCAACCAGCAUAUUUUAUAUGUGUUUGAUGGGGGAUUGAUCGGAUGACAGCUGGAACUGUAGUCAUCACAGGAGGAAUCCUAGCGACCGUCAUACUUCUGUGUAUAAUUGGGGUUCUUUGCUACUGCAGACUUCAGUAUUACUGCUGUAAGAAAGAAGAGCUCCGUGAGGAGGCAGAGGAGGUUCCAGGUCACGGGACUCACUCCCACUUUCCUUGCCAUGACUGUUCUUCUGCUCACCUGGACAGUAUGCCCCAUACUAAAGUGCCACCGGCCUAUUCCCCAUAUGGGUCUCCAUUCUACAUACGAACUGCAGAUAGCAUGUGCAAUGGCAGAGAGAUACCUCCCUGCACCCCCACCCACUGCACAGAGCCAGGGACCUUGCUUAUGAUGGCGGCUACACCAAGCUUAUCUAGAGGGUUGCAUGCUCUGAGCACCCAGGUAUGAAAGAGGAAGAGCAUAUGGAUCUGAAAAACUUUGAACUUCUAAGCUAUGUCACUGCCAAGGAAAGCACUGUAUUGCCCACUCCCUCUAAAGAAUGCUAUUGAAUUUAGAAUUGGAAGUUGGAGGUAGAGAAAUGAGAAAUGUUAUCAACAGUUCCAGUGCAUAAGUUACAGAAACAUAAGAAAAGGGGAUUCAAACUGAUUUCAGGGUAGGAGGGUACUUCUGUAUUCAUUGGCAUCUCUUGUACAGAAUCACUUUGGAGCUGACAAGUUUUUCAUGUUUUUGAGCUCUUCUCCCAAAUGUUAUCUGGCUGCAGCCAUUUUACUGUCACUCUGGAGUAAGGUGGCAUUUAUCUUCUUUGCUGUUACUAACUGGCAGACAUCAGGUUUCCUACUACUCGGAGAAACCAUAGGUCGGCAUUCGAACAUCACAGACAGACUAUCCUCCCAUGUGCACUGGUUACUGAUUGCAAAUGUAAUGCUUAUUUUCAUAUGAAUCAGUAUUUUUGUGUAAUACUUUAGGUUUUAUUCCCAUGAGUGUUUAAACAUGAAGUGCAGUUUCACUUGGUCCCCAGCCCAGCUACCCAAGUAUAGGUCUGUACCAAGAGGAACAGAGACCAAUGGCAAAAUGUAGAAAAUAAACUUAUUCAGCUUUGAUCUCUGGGCAAAAUGACAAUAGUUACUUGUUAAUCUCUUUAGACACUUCUUGUAUAACAUCCAUACAUAUUAGCUUCUCUCUUUUUCCCCUUGGUUGGUCAUUUUCUGCAUAUUUAAUUGUGUGGACUCCUACUCUCAACCUCAAAUUAUUAUGGUUAUUGAACAUACAGUAUACUGAAUACACAGUACAUUACGCUCACAAACCUUGUAUAGUAGAAAACUCAUCCAAUAAACUUUGCUGAACACAAAGAAGAAAUUGUGUUGCACAUGUAACUGCACCGUAUGGUGACUGCAUGUUUAGGCAUUGUGGAUACAGAGCCUAUAAUGUGAUGAAUUUUGAAUAAUGAAGAUUUAGGGAGGUUUAGCUUCUCCCACAAAAAGAGACUAACGCAUCUAUAUUCAAAUAUAAGUUCUCCAACUGAAAACCUUUUAUUGGUAGUCUCUUAAACAUACAUUCUACCUUCCUUCCC